CAGCUGGAUCCAAUCUGCUUUGCAAAAUUCCUCCAAGCAAGAACAGCAUCUUGCCUUCAUGUACCUAUUGGACACCUCAAGCUCCCAAGGAAAAUGAAGAAUUCCUUAAGUUCUCACUUGAAAAUUUGAUUUGUAAGGGAACUGGAAGUUUACCUGCUGAGUGCUCCACAUGUCAGAGAAGCAAGCCGAGAUAACAGCCAGAGUCCGUGAACAGAAGUUCAUGAAGAUCAUUGCUUGACAGGUCAGGGUAAAGGUCUCCUUCUUUCAAAAUAUGUGAAGGGGCAGGAAACGUGUGCACCAGGUGUCAUCAUGGCUGCCUGGGAAAGAUAAUUCUGCCUACUCGAAAAGAACAUCGUGCUCCAUGCAUCAGGUUGUUUUU
rnacentral:lncRNA from 13 species